rnacentral:lncRNA from 1 species
AUGGUGGGAAAUUUGCAAAGACUUGAAGGAUGCCGGGGAAGCCAGGAGGCAGAGAUGAGGAAGGAGACCAUUCCAGGCAAUGGAGACAGUCAUUGAACAUGGAACACCAUGCCUGUGCUAUUCUGGUUUUAGGUAGACUGAUGAUUCUUAGAUUAUUUCUCUUUGACAUAUCUUUCAGGUCAGUUUUUAGAUACAUUUACUUCUUACUUACUUACUUACUUACAUUUACUUCUGUUUUCUUUUAAUAUUUUUUUGCCUCACCUUCUCAGUGAUCUCAAUAGUUUCUAUACAUUCGGUUAUCUUCUCUGUGCAGAUAUCUUUGGUUUGUCAACCAAUUAAUGUUUAUUAAGCACCUAUUAUGUUCCAGGCACUGCUAAGCACUGGGUGUAUAAAGAAUGGUAAAAGAGAAACCCUGCUCUCAGGCCCAGAGCUUCCAGUCUAAUGGAGAAGAUAAUGACAAACAAUUAAUUAUAGCAUGUAAAAAUGAGCUUUAUACAGAAUAAGUUAGAAAUAAUCCAGAGAAGGAAGGUGCUAGAAUUAGGAGGAACCAGGAAAGGUUUCCUGAAAAGAUGGGAUUUUAUCUGGGACUGGAAGGAUGCCAGGGAAUCCAGGAGGGAGCUAUGAGGAAGGAAUGCAUUUCAGGCAUGGAGAAGUCAGUUACAAUGUCUGGAGUUAGAAGAUGAAUGCCUUGUGUGAGGAACUACAAGGAAGCCAGGGUCACUAGGUUUGCAGAGUAUGUGUGGGCUUGGGGUGUAAGGUUCAAGAAGCCUAGAAAGUUUGGGCAGGGGCUUGAUUAUGAAGGACUUUGAGGACCAAAGAGAGGUUUUGAUAUUUGACUCUGGGUGAUAGGGAGACCCUGGGGUUCAUUGAGCAGGGACCUAUGGUUUACAAAGGUUACUUUGGCAGCUGAGUGGAGGAUGGACCAGAAUAGGGCUAGACGGGGAGCCUAACCAAAAGGUUAUUACAAGGUCUGAAGUGAUGAGGGCCUACACCAGGGUGGUGGCAGUGCCAGAGGAGAGAAAGAGGGCAUAUAUGAGAGAUGUUAGAAGGUUAAAAUGGACUCUUCUUGUCAGCAGAUUGGUUAUAAGCUUUACCACUGCCUGGUGAAUAUCUAGCCCUACCUAUACUAUAAGUGUUUCAAACUUCACAUAUCCAGAAUGGAAUACGAUCUGUUUCUCUUCCAAAUUCCCCGAUUAGUGUCGAGGGCACCAACUUACUUCUAAUCAGCUACAUUUAGAACCUUAG